GGGGAUGUGGCUCAGUGGUAGAGUGCUUGCCUGGCAUUUGUGUGGUCCUGAGUUCAAUUCUCAGCGCUACCA
rnacentral:tRNA from 1 species